GGACAGCGAGUGAAGGACACCACCAAGCGCAAAGAAACAAUAACAUCUCGGCUGGACAAUCCUAAUUGUCCCCAAUGUUUAUCGUAUGUGUCGAUGGGUCUUUCCCUCUCCUUUUGGGGUCCCCCUCCUUAUUCCUGGUGGUGGGGAUGAUUUCUUCGCGUGUCGCUUAUAUUGCGGAUAGGGGCACGAAACAAAAAUCAUUUCUGCGUAAAGCGUGGUAGCG